CGUGAGGGAAUGGUGAAAAGUACCCCGGGAGGGGAGUGAAAUAGUACCUGAAACCGUGCGCUUACAAUCCGUCAGAGCCUUCGUGUUAAAGCGUGGGGUGAUGGCGUGCCUUUUGAAGAAUGAGCCUGCGAGUCAGGGACAUGUCGCGAGGUUAACCCGUGUGGGGUAGCCGUAGCGAAAGCGAGUCUGAAUAGGGCGUAUCC
rnacentral:rRNA from 1 species